rnacentral:rRNA from 1 species
GAUUAUGGCCAUACCACCUUCAAUGUACUUGAUCUCAUCUGAUCUUGGAAGCUAAGCAGAAUCAGGCCUGGUUAGUACUCGAAUGUGAGAUCAAAAUAGUCAAAUACCAUGUGGAGAGUUAGCCUAAAAUGA